rnacentral:rRNA from 1 species
GACGAACGCUGGCGGCGUGCUUAACACAUGUAAGUCGAACGGAAAGGCCCUGCUUUUGUGGGGUGCUCGAGUGGCGAACGGGUGAGUAACACGUGAGUAACCUGCCCUUGACUUUGGGAUAACUUCAGGAAACUGGGGCUAAUACCGGAUAGGAGCUCCUGCUGCAUGGUGGGGGUUGGAAAGUUUCGGCGGUUGGGGAUGGACUCGCGGCUUAUCAGCUUGUUGGUGGGGUAGUGGCUUACCAAGGCUUUGACGGGUAGCCGGCCUGAGAGGGUCGCCGGGCAGAUGGGGAGAGAGAGACGGCACAGGCUGGUACGGGAGGCAGCAGUGGGGGAUAGUGGAGGAGGGGCGGGAGCCUGAUGCAGCCAUGCAGCGUGGGGGAAGACGGAGUGAGGGUGGUAAACCACUAUCGCCUGUGACGAAGCGUGAGAGAGGGGAAGGGGUAAAGAAGCAGGGGAUAACUGCGUG